GUCUUAAAGAUUGUUAAUUUUAAGUCUAAUCUGCCCACUGAAUUUAUUUAAAUGGCCGCAGUAUUUUUAACUGUGCAAAGGUAGCAUAAUAAUUUGUUUUUUAAUUAAAAACUAGAAUGAAAGAUUAAAUGAAAUAUAAACUUUUUUAUAAUUAAUAAAAUUAAAUUUAUUAUAUAAGUAAAAAAACUUAUAUUUAUUUUAAAGACGAUAAGACCCUAUAGAAUUUUAUUUUUUAAUUAUAAUUAUUUUAAUUAAAAAAUUUAAUUGGGGAAAUUAAAAAAUAAAAUAAAUUUUUUUUUUAAAAAACAUAAAUUAAUGAAAAAAUUAUCUUAAUUUUUAAAUUAAAAAAAUUAAUUACCUUAGGGAUAACAGCAUAAUUUUUUUUAAAAGAUCUUAUUAAUAAAAAAGAUUGU
rnacentral:rRNA from 1 species